AUUGAACGCUGGCGGCAUGCCUUACACAUGCAAGUCGAACGGUAACGCGGGGCAACCUGGCGACGAGUGGCGAACGGGUGAGUAAUGCAUCGGAACGUACCCAGUAGUGGGGGAUAGCCCGGCGAAAGCCGGAUUAAUACCGCAUACGACCUACGGGUGAAAGGGGGGGAUCGCAAGACCUCUCGCUAUUGGAGCGGCCGAUGUCAGAUUAGGUAGUUGGUGGGGUAAAAGCCUACCAAGCCUGUGAUCUGUAGCUGGUCUGAGAGGACGACCAGCCACACUGGGACUGAGACACGGCCCAGACUCCUACGGGAGGCAGCAGUGGGGAAUUUUGGACAAUGGGCGCAAGCCUGAUCCAGCAAUGCCGCGUGCGGGAAGAAGGCCUCGGUUGUAA
rnacentral:rRNA from 1 species